rnacentral:lncRNA from 1 species
GGAAAAGAAUACUUCACCUAACAACAAAAAAUUGACAUGGCAAGUCAGCAAGCAAAUUUCCAGUCUAAUUUCUGGUGGAAUCUGUCACAGGGAACAAGAAAUUUUGAGAAGAAAAUGAGUUGGACGUUGCUUGGGGUUAGAUGUGAGUAAACCAUCUAUCUCCUCGGAAAAUGGAAGACAGCCACUCAUUUGACAGUGAAGGCUCGGUCAACUGACAGGGCAGACAAUUGACAGAGCCGGAAAAGUGCAUCUGGUGCAUUAUUAAGUAUCAGGAUGAUGAACAGAGUUCAUAAUUAAGCUUGUACUUAACAGCUCAUUGCCUUGAGUAAUAAUAACGAUGACUUUAAAAAAGCAUCCUCCUUUCUUUUCUCUCAUUGUUCUCACAAAUAAAUGUAACAAUGUCAGAGUUGUCAUCACCAGG